rnacentral:rRNA from 1 species
AUUGAAGGCUGAAAUUCGCCUUCAUGAAGCUGGAAUUGCUAGUAAUGGCAGGUCAGCAUACUGCCGUGAAUACGUUCCCGGGCCUUGUACACACCGCCCGUCACACCAUGAGAGUUGGGAAUACCCGAAGCCUGUGAGCUAACUUAUAGAGGCAGCAGUCGAAGGUAGAAUCAAUGAUUGGGGUGAAGUCGUAACAAGGUACC